rnacentral:rRNA from 1 species
ACGCUCGACACCUACGGGCAGCAGUGGGGAAUAUUGCACAAUGGGGGAAACCCUGAUGCAGCGACGCCGCGUGAGCGAAGAAGUAUUUCGGUAUGUAAAGCUCUAUCAGCAGGGAAGAAAAUGACGGUACCUGACUAAGAAGCCCCGGCUAACUACGUGCAGCAGCCGCGGUAAUCUGAGGCGGGCUGGCAAGGC